UACGAAGGGGGCUAGCGUUGUUCGGAAUUACUGGGCGUAAAGCGUAUGCAGGCGGAUCGUUAAGUUGGGGGUGAAAUCCCGAGGCUCAACCUCGGAACUGCCUUCGAUACUGGCGAUCUUCGAGUCCGGGAGAGGUGAGUGGAACUCCGAGUGUAGAGGUGAAAUUCGUAGAUAUUCGGAAGAACACCAGUGGCGAAGGCGGCUCACUGGCCCGGUACUGACGCUGAGAUACGAAAGCGUGGGGAGCAAACAGGG
rnacentral:rRNA from 1 species